rnacentral:rRNA from 1 species
AGUGAACGCUGGCGGUAGGCCUAACACAUGCAAGUCGAACGGCAGCACAGUAAGAGCUUGCUCUUACGGGUGGCGAGUGGCGGACGGGUGAGGAAUACAUCGGAAUCUACUUUUUCGUGGGGGAUAACGUAGGGAAACUUACGCUAAUACCGCAUACGACCUACGGGUGAAAGCAGGGGAUCUUCGGACCUUGCGCGAUUGAAUGAGCCGAUGUCGGAUUAGCUAGUUGGCGGGGUAAAGGCCCACCAAGGCGACGAUCCGUAGCUGGUCUGAGAGGAUGAUCAGCCACACUGGAACUGAGACACGGUCCAGACUCCUGCGGGAGGCAGCAGUGGGGAAUAUUGGACAAUGGGCGCAAGCCUGAUCCAGCCAUACCGCGUGGGUGAAGAAGGCCUUCGGGUUGUAAAGCCCUUUUGUUGGGAAAGAAAAGCAGCAGGUUAAUACCCCGCUGCUCUGACGGUACCCAAAGAAUAAGCACCGGCUAACUUCGUG